GUAGGUAUAGCUCAGUGGUAGAGUGCAUGCUUAGCAUGCACGAGGUCUGGGGUUCAAUCCCCAGUACCUCCA
rnacentral:tRNA from 1 species